rnacentral:rRNA from 1 species
AGUGAACGCUGGCGGUAGGCCUAACACAUGCAAGUCGAACGGCAGCACAGUAAGAGCUUGCUCUUACGGGUGGCGAGUGGCGGACGGGUGAGGAAUACAUCGGAAUCUACUUUUUCGUGGGGGAUAACGUAGGGAAACUUACGCUAAUACCGCAUACGACCUACGGGUGAAAGUAGGGGAUCUUCGGACCUUGCGCGAUUGAAUGAGCCGAUGUCGGAUUAGCUAGUUGGCGGGGUAAAGGCCCACCAAGGCGACGAUCCGUAGCUGGUCUGAGAGGAUGAUCAGCCACACUGGAACUGAGACACGGUCCAGACUCCUACGGGAGGCAGCAGUGGGGAAUAUUGGACAAUGGGCGCAAGCCUGAUCCAGCCAUACCGCGUGAGUGAAGAAGGCCUUCGGGUUGUAAAGCCCUUUUGUUGGGAAAGAAAAGCAGCAGGUUAAUACCCCGCUGUUCUGACGGUACCCAAAGAAUAAGCACCGGCUAACUUCGUG